GGUUACAGCCAUAUCGCCCUGAACACGCCCGAUCUCGUCUGAUUUCGGAAGCUAAUCGCGGUCGGGCCUGGUCAGUACUUGGAUGGGAGACCGCCUGGGAAUACCAGGUGCUGCAAGCUUUG
rnacentral:rRNA from 1 species